AGACUCAAUCAGAUAACGCAGGCGAUGCUCUCAGCCAGGGCUCCUAGUGACGGCGCCUAUGGCCCUGCGGGUUCCCCAGCCCUCUGGGUGCUCGUAUUUGUGGGUGCCCCUGGGUCUGUGGGCGCCCGGGGCAGAGGGAGUGAACUGGCCGCUGUGUGUCACCGCAGCCACCAGGGGGCGGCAGAGGGGGGCGGUUCCGCCCCCGCGCGGCAGCCCGCCCGAGCCUGCGCGUUGGGCCGGGAAGGCAGGCGGGAGGGGAGGAGGCCGCGGGUCACUCGGGGCCAGCGGAGGCGUCUGGGCUGGGAUCCUGGCCCUGCCGCUAGCUCCGCGCGACUGGGGUCUGCCGGCCUCCUCCGUGCCCCGGGCGCUGCGCUGUGGUCGCUGGGGCUCUUCCAACGCGGAAACUCGGGGCGAGGCCGCGGAGAGGCGUCCCCACACAGCGGCAGGCCCGGGCCGGCAGCCCUGGGAGCUCCUGGCGUCCAGCUGAGGCUCCCCCCACCUCCGGUCUGCAGAUGGGGAAAUUGAGGCCCAGCCAGGAGCAGGGGCGCGAUCGACGUCACACAGAAAAAUUAGAGGCGGCCACGCACCCACCCGGCUGGGCCUGCCGACGCCGAGGCCUGCCCUGCCCCUCUGCACAUCACUGGCGUCCCAAAUCCCACCAGGAGCGGGGGUCCUGCCCAGCCUCCUGCUGGGCCCACCCUCGGGGGAGGUGACCCUCCCCCGGCUCCCAGGGCCCCCUGAGCGCCCGAUGAGCUCUCGUGGGGCUGGUGUUCCAGGGCAGAGUCAGCUCUUAGUGUCCCUGCCUCCACCUGGGAGGUCCGGGUCCUGCUGGGUCCUGCUGGGUCCUGUGGCCCCUCCGCCCCCCAGCGCAGGGCCUGCGAGGUGAGUCACUGCUUGGGCCACUUCCCUGCGCAGUUCCCAUCUCCGCAGCUUCCCGGGCCGCCAGGGCCCACCUGCAGAGGAGCCUGGCGGGGAGCCGCGGGCCGGGAGAGGCGCGGGCUCACGGGCACGGGGCUGCCUUCCCCAGGCGGGCGAGGCCGGGGACGCCGGUGGCCAGCCGCUGCAGCACCCCCGCCCGUCCGCCCGCCCCCGCUCGCGCUUCCUCCCGGCUGCGCGCAGGGGGCGGCGGCCUCGAGCUCCCCGCUCUGCGGCCGGAAAAGGCUGGGGUUCCAGGAACACGCAGCUUGGCAGGUCGGAGCAGGCACGUCGCGUGGUUCCCAGACGCGGUGCCCCCCGGGGCGCCCGCCCAGGCCUGCGCUGCCCCGCGGGCGGCGUGGUCACGGGGCGCUCGGGCCGGCGCGAGGCGGGGAGCCGAGUCAGUGGCCGGGGUCGCUCCCGCCGGCCCGGCCCCUCCUGGCAGCGCGCGCGGGGCGAGGCGGCCGCGGCCAUCCCAUCCCGGCGCUGGGCCCGCCGGCCGCCUUCCCGGCGGCCUCCCCCGCUCCGGGCCGAUGACCUCAUCGGGAAGCCAUUCCGGAAAGGGGCUGCGGAGCCCCUGGGAGCGGGAGCGAAGGGAGCUUUCCAAGGGCCCUCCUGGCGGCCGCCGGUGCCAAGCGAAGGCAGGCGUCACCCCCGGUGUCUGCCGGCCUAGCGACCGCUGGGAGGCAGCUGGCUUUUGUCCGCUUUUCGGGGUGACCAGGCCAGGCCGGAGCAGGCAGGCAGCAUGGCACUGCCCACGGCCGGCUGGCCAGCAGGCGGGCAGAGGAUUCAUUUCCAGAGCCGGCACUCAAUGGCUGGCUAGGAGGAGAAGGCAGGUGCAAGCUGGUGGCAGACGCCAAGCCCUCCCCCUCCCCCGUCCUGGGCCUCAGUUUCCCCUCAGCCCAGCACCCCUCCCCCCUGGGUGCUUGCCCUCCCCCUCCCGUGACUACAAGGAGCACGAGACAUAAGUGAGCACGUGACCUGCUCCCUGCUGCCUGCUGAUGUAAACCAGAGGCCAGGCGGCCUGCAGCUGGCUCUGAGCGGGCCUUUCUGGGCCAUGUGGUCCGGCGGGGAGGGGUGGGGCGCUGCGGGGCCAGCUGGGGUGCUGGGGAGGGAGGAGGAGCUUCCUGCCCUGCCUGAGGUGGGUCUGUAGGGACGAUGGUAGGGGCCACACAAGGGGAGCUCCCGCCCUGGUCCCAGCCCUGCCCCCGCCCAGCUUGGACUCCAGAGAAGCCUCUCAGAGCCUCAGUUUUAUCAUCUGUAAAGUGCAGCGCCCCCCCCCCCCCCCCCCGAGAGUGGCUGAAAACACUCUUAAACUGUGUAAAAGAGAGAGUCGGAGGCCCAGGUGGACAGGCUCUUGUGGGGGCCUGUGGGCAAGCACCUGGACCAGCUCCUCCUGGACCAGCUUCUUGUCUUCACACUGUUGGCACCACAGGGGACCUCCUAAGACAUAGGUCUGUUUGGUGCACUUCCUCACUAAAAACCCCCUUGCCCCAGGAUAAGUGAAACUGUCCUCCAGCCAUGGCUGACCCCACACGUGCCCAAGCUCACCAUACCUUUUUUCAAACUCUGGAGAACUCCUACUCAUCCUGCAAAACUCCAGGCUUGUGACCACUUCAGCCAACAGAGCGUCACAGCCAAGCUGCCGCGUAGCUUCCCAGGCUGAGUCAAAAGGCCACACAGCUUCUACCCCGGAGUCCUGAGGCGCCAUGUGGGAAGGAAGCUCAAUGCUGGGAGACCUCCAUGCAGUGAGGAAGCCCGGGCCGCCUGGAGAGGCCACGUGGAGGUGCGCUGGCGGGCAGUCCAGCCUUCGAGUCACCCCAGGCCAGGCGCCAGACGUGUGGAUGAGGCAGCCACAUCAGAGGCAGCUCCCCAGCCUCAGGUCUUCCAGCUCCAGCCAUUUAAGUCGUGCCAGGUAGGGCCCCAGACAUCAGAGCAGAGAAGAGCUGUCCCCACUGUGCCCUCUCAGAAUGCUCGAGCCACGGAAUUUGUGAGUGGAAUCACGUGGCUGUCGUUUUCCAUCGCUGCGUUAGGGUGGUUUGUCAUCCAGCACCAGCUGACUCCAACAGGUGAGAAGCUCAGAACCUCUUGGCCCUUAAGGCCAGCUGCACGGCCCCGUGAAGCACGAUGGUCCUGACCUGGACUCCAGUCCCAGCAGCAGAUGCUCCCCAAAUGCUCUCGGUGUUCCACAGCCCUGAUGUCACCAGGGCUCGGGAAGGUUCGCUGGGUGGGUGAACCAUGUCUGGCCUCACUGCAGCCCCAUUCACAGAGCUGUUCCUGAGUCACUCCCCAAACCUGGAAGGAGGUCAUCCCUCCUCAGAACCCCCAUGGGCCUUUGAGGCUUGCAUACUUGUGGACCCAGAAGCUCUGGGGAGGUAUCCAGGUUUUGUGGCAUCUCUGUCCUCUGUGUCUCAAUUUCCCCACCCAUGGAAUAGGACACUGAACUUAUCAUUUCUGUGGUCCCUCUGGGCUCCUAAUCUGCCUGACUGGGGGCAGUGUAUGUCUCCCCUCCACGUCCCUUUAUCCAUGUGACUCCACUUCCCAUGAAGGUGGGGAUCAUGAUUGUCAUCUCACCAUUACCUGCUCAGCACCUGGCGCUGGGCCUAGCCCAAAGGAUGGACACCACUGGUGUUUACUCAAUGAAUGAAUGAGUCAAUGAAUGAAUGAAAGACCUCUUUCUGUGCUCAUUCAUUCAAUCAAUUAAUUUUCAGCCCACACAAUAAGGAUUCCCUUAUAGCAGCUCUAGGAGUCUACUCUUGUAUGUCUCAUGUGAUGGGGAGCUCACCACCUUCCAAGAUACCCUAUUUUAUAUUGGGGCAGCUCUGAUCAGAGAGCAUUUCCCUGAGCUGGCCUCCUCCUUGGGUCCCAGGGGUGAGUGGCUGGAGAAGGAGGGAAGGGGGGGGCAGCAGAGGAAGGAGCCCUCAGUAACCCGGUCCUCAGGGCUCACGUCUGAUGAGUGCUGGGAGCAGGUGAGGGGACUCCGGGGUGCUCGAAACCCCUUGGCUCUCUCUGCACGGGUCCGGUUGGGGUCCUGGGGUGGGUAGGUUGCGGGCAGCGAGUGCCAUGGUGCCCAGGGCCCAGCACACCAGGAGGUCUGCGGAGACUAAGAAAGCAGCUGGGCAGAGAGAAGAGCAGGGCGGGACAGGUGGCCUGUGUUGUUUCCAUGGCUUCAAUGCCUCUGCCUGCCCGGCCUGGCUUGGGAAAAACAGGCUGGGCACCGAGCAAGCAGCGCCUGUGACCGCCCGGGACAAAGGCCAGGCUGUUUAGGCGCUCAUGGCGGCCAACUGGGCCUGCCCAGCGGGACAUGGGUUUAGUCUAGGCCAGUUGGGGCUGAGCUGCCAGGCCCCACAGCCUGUCCCUGGGGACCGAGCCGGGGCUGGGGGCAGGGGCGGGGGAGGCAAGGAGGUUCCUGGGGCAGGUGGUACCCCCAGCUCCGCCCUCCGGGUGCACAGUCCUCUUGCGCAGCCUCUCAGGAGACUGAAGACAGCAGAAGCUCCUUGGAUAAUGGAAUAGGGUUUCCCCCUCCGUCUCUGGGUGAGGAGCCAAGAGACCAGGGUGUCAGUGGCAACAUCCCAGUGGGCCUCCCACUCUUCCGAGGGGCACCCCCAAAGAGUGACCAGACAGGGGCCCAUGUGUGAGGUAUGUGUUUGCAGCCUCUGUGGACAGACGCUGUCUCUGGCCCCGAGCUGGGCAUACCUAAAGUGGCAGCAUGCUGGUGCCCGGAGCACCCAAGAAGCACCAGAGGCAGCCCCCUCCCAAGGCCGGAUGGAGCUGGCAGACGAAUGCCCUUCAGCCAGGCCAACUCAGAGCUGCGCUCUGCACAAUGUCCCGGGGCGGGGGCACUGAGCCCCAGCGGCCUCAGAGGUGACCUGCUUGAUGACAUAUGCUGUGCUGGCUGUGUCCCCUCCCUGCGACACUUCUCCACUCCCUCCCCAUGUCUUCUGGGGUUGGCUCCCAAAUAAGCCGUGCUCGCAGGAGUCGAUGCUUCAGGGCCGCCUUCUGGGGAGACCCCGAGCAGGCCAUGAGCUCACAGAAGGAUCUCUGCAGCUCCCCGGGGCUUCUGUGUCCUGGAGCUGAGACCACAACGUCCUCCCAGGAACUGUGACCCUGGGGCGUGUGGGAAGUGUCACCGAGGAGGGCACGGAGGCCAGAAGCCCUGGAAGGGGGGUCCUGGGCUGCGCCUAAGGGAAGGAGGCUUUAGGCUGGAGGAGACGGGGAAGGCGCUGAGAGCUGGGGGUCUGCCCAAAUCGCAGCUCUCAGGCCUCCAGAAGCCCCUUACUGCCCCUUCGUCCGUGCCUCCAUGGCGGGUGGUGGAGCUCCCUGCACCCCUCGCCUGCCCCUUCCCCACUUGGGGCGGACUGCCUACCUGCCCCGUCUCAGCCUCCACAGCUAGAAGGGGUGGUGUGCUCUGCGCACACUGUGUGGCAGUGUGGGCUCCCAGGAAGCCACUCUGAGCCAGGCUUUAGGGAGCAGGAUGUCUGUUGGGGAUGGCCUGGGGUCACCACUGUGGCUGGGAGGGGAAGGAGGCAGGCAUGGGCAGAGGCCUGACCCCGCAGGAAGUCUGGAACUAGAAGCCACCAGAGCUGGCCUGAGUUGGGUGGAAGCGGCCAGGCCUUGACUCUCCCUGCAUCCGUCACUGGAUGUGGCCGGCCCAGGGAGGUCAUGACCUUGGGACAGGCUGGUCUCUGCAGUUUGAGGCCAACCCCGAAGGGGCUCAGGCGGAGGGCUGCAUGCGCUGGAGGGAGCUCCGAAGUGGGGGAAGGUGAGGCUCGGGCACCCACAGGCAAGCGCUGCCUGGGGGUCUCUGUCCUGUCCAGCUGGCCCUGGAAAUCCCCCUGCCCCUGACGCUCAGCCUCGCAUAACUGAGGUCAUCACCUUCCCCAGCUCCUCCUGCCUCCUGCUUGGUCCCAGUGAAGCCCUACUUCCACGGGGCCAGCCUGGCCCUCCCCACCUCUCCACCCCCACCUCACCUGUGGGCCUGACCUCACAGGCCCCCAGCCUCCACUUCUCAGCCAGAGUGACCUUCCCAAACGGUCCCUACCCUCAGUCACCUCCACUCACACUCUCGCUCUGCCACCCAAGUGGCCUGUAGCCCUUGACUGUGCGUUCCACUCACCUCCAUUGCCACCUAACCCUCCGGCCCCCGUGAGUUACCCCCGAGCCCUGGGCUGAAGUCUUGGGAGGCCUUCCCUGGCCCUCGGCCCCAACUCAGGAUUCUCAGCCUUUUGCCAGCUCUGCGGCUGCAGGCAGCUUCGCCUGCGUGGGCUCCCGGGGCAGGGCCGUGUCUGUCUCCUUCAUGCUGUGUCCCAGGGCCCAGCACAGGCCUGCGACCCCGCAGGCCCUCAGCGAACACGUGGAGAGAAGAAAGGAAGGAAGGAUGGGUGGAAGGAAGGGAG
rnacentral:lncRNA from 1 species